rnacentral:rRNA from 1 species
UACGUAGGGACCGAGCGUUGUCCGGAAUCAUUGGGCGUAAAGAGCUCGUAGGUGGCGGGUCACGUCGGGUGUGAAGGCCCGGGGCUUAACUCCGGGUCUGCAUUCGAUACGGGUCUGCUGGGGUCCGGCAGGGGAGACUGGAAUUCCUGGUGUAGCGGUGAAAUGCGCAGAUAUCAGGAGGAACACCGGUGGCGAAGGCGGGUCUCUGGGCCGGUACCGACGCUGAGGAGCGAAAGCGUGGGGAGCGAACAGG